rnacentral:rRNA from 1 species
CCUACGGGGGGCUGCAGUCGAGAAUCAUUCGCAAUGGGCGAAAGCCUGACGGUGCGACGCCGCGUGGAGGAUGAAGGCCCUAGGGUCGUAAACUCCUGUCAUCAGGGAGUAAAGACUCGUGUAGUCACUGACACGGGUCCUGAUAGUACCUGAAGAGGAAGGGACGGCAAACUUCGUGCCAGCAGCCGCGGUCAUACGAAGGUCCCAAGCGUAGUGAGGAUUUAGUGGGCGGGGUAAGUCUGUAGGCGGCUCCCGGGGCUCAACCCCGGAACUGCAUCCGAUACUGCCUUGCUAGAGUAUUGGAGGGGAGUCUGGAAUUCUCGGUGUAGAAGUGAAAUGCGUAGAUAUCGAGAGGAACACUAGUGGCGAAGGCGAGACUCUGGACAAUUACUGACGCUGAGAGACGAAGGUCAGGGGAGCGAAAAGGAUUAGAUACCCGUGUAGUC